CCCUUAGAUGUUCUGGGCCGCACGCGCGCUACACUGAUGCAUUCAACGAGUUUCUUCCUGGUCCGAGAGGAAUGGGUAACCUUUUGAAAGUGCAUCGUGAUAGGGAUAGACUAUUGCAAUUAUUGGUCUUCAACGAGGAAUUCCUAGUAGACGUAGUUCAUCAGACUGCAUCGAUUACGUCCCUGCCCUUUGUACACACCGCCCGUCGCCCCUACCGAUUGAAUGCUCAGGUGAGCCAUUCGGACUUUCAUCAUGCUGGUUUCCAGUUUUGAUGAAGGAAAGUCUUGCGAACCUUAUCAUUUAGAGGAAGGAGAAGGCGUAACA
rnacentral:rRNA from 1 species